rnacentral:rRNA from 1 species
UACGUAGGGGGCAAGCGUUGUCCGGAAUCAUUGGGCGUAAAGCGCGUGUAGGCGGUUCGGUAAGUCCGCUGUGAAAGUCGGGGGGCUCAACCCUCGGAUGCCGGUGGAUACUGUCGGGCUAGAGUGCGGAAGAGGCGAGUGGAAUUCCUGGUGUAGCGGUGAAAUGCGCAGAUAUCAGGAGGAACACCGGUGGCGAAGGCGGGUCUCUGGGCCGAUACUGACGCUGAGGAGCGAAAGCGUGGGGAGCGAACAGG